rnacentral:misc_RNA from 1 species
GAUGAAGAACGUAGCGAAAUGCGAUAAGUAGUGUGAAUUGCAGAAUUCAGUGAAUCAUCGAGUCUUUGAACGCACAUUGCGCCCGUUAGUAUUCUGACGGGCAUGCCUGUCCGAGCGUCAUUUCAACCCUCAAGCACGGCUUGGUGUUGGCGGAUUGCGUGCCCUAGCGGCGCUGCACCCGCCCAAAUACAGUGGCGGUCCCGCUGCGGCUCCCUUUGCGUAGUAACUCACCUCGCACUGGACCGGGCGGCGGCUCGCCGUAAAACCCCAACUCACGAAAUGUUGACCUCGGAUCAGGUAGGAAUACCCGCUGAACUUAAGCAUAUCAAUAAGCGGAGGA